CAUGCAUCCUUGCAAAGAAUUGCCGAGUUAGAGGCUCAGCUUCAGAGAAAGCCUAAAAAUUAAAACCCCAUAAGUGCUGCCUGUCUCCUCCCUCAAAUGUAGGCUGGGACUGUUCUAAUUCGUCCAGAGUCAGCAGUUGAUAAUGACCUCAAAGGGUCCUGGCAAGAAAAUUGCUUUAUUCUGGACAACAGCACAGUCCCUCUACUUGUGAAGUAAGAUUUCUUUAAGACGUCUUCUUAUGGUUUCUAUUGAAUCUGAAAGAAUCAAAGUAGAUAGCAUAGAAGAACAGGGGAAGACCUGCAGAAGUGACUAAGGAUGCCCGGAGAUAUUUACUUUUUUCCUUUUUGUGUGUUUAGGGAGCAGGGAGGGGAGAAGAUAGGAUUGUAGGAAUUGUGCGUCAUCAACGUAUGAAUUUAGUUGGCAUACAAUUUUUUAAUGAAUGAUUCUUGACAUAAUUCAUUUAAGAUUGAUAAAAGUAAA